rnacentral:rRNA from 1 species
CCCCGGCGCCACAAGUGGUUAUCACGAUUAUUGGGCCUAAAGCGCUCGUAGCCGGUUUGGUGAAUCUCUUGUGAAAUUGUUCGGCUUAACCGGACAGCGUGCAGGAGACACUGCCAGACUCGAGACCGGGAGGGGUUAGAAGUAUUCCAUGGGGACUGGUAAAAUGGGAUAAUCCAUGGAAGACUACCGAUGGCGAAGGCAUCUAACCAGAACGGAUCUGACGGUGAGGAACGAAAGCCAGGGGAGCGAACCGG